rnacentral:rRNA from 1 species
AUUGAACGCUGGCGGCAUGCUUUACACAUGCAAGUCGAACGGUAACAGGCCGCAAGGUGCUGACGAGCGGCGAACGGGUGAGUAAUGCAUCGGAACGUGCCCAGUCGUGGGGGAUAACGCAGCGAAAGCUGUGCUAAUACCGCAUACGAUCUAUGGAUGAAAGCGGGGGACCGUAAGGCCUCGCGCGAUUGGAGCGGCCGAUGUCAGAUUAGCUAGUUGGUGGGGUAAAGGCCCACCAAGGCGACGAUCUGUAGCUGGUCUGAGAGGACGACCAGCCACACUGGGACUGAGACACGGCCCAGACUCCUACGGGAGGCAGCAGUGGGGAAUUUUGGACAAUGGGCGCAAGCCUGAUCCAGCAAUGCCGCGUGCAGGAAGAAGGCCUUCGGGUUGUAAACUGCUUUUGUACGGAACGAAACGGUCUGGGUUAAUACCCUGGGCUAAUGACGGUACCGUAAGAAUAAGCACCGGCUAACUACGUGCCAGCCGCCGCGGUAACAC